GAUGAAGAACGUAGCGAAAUGCGAUAAGUAAUGUGAAUUGCAGAAUUCAGUGAAUCAUCGAAUCUUUGAACGCACCUUGCACCCUUUGGUAUUCUGAAGGGUAUGCUCGUUUGAGUGUCAUUGUACUCUCACACUCCCGAUCUUGAGUUGGGAGCGGUGGACUUGGGUUUGCUGCUUUAGUUGUGGCUCACCUCAAAUAAGUUAGUGCAACUCUUGGUUGGACAUAGUACAGCGUGAUAAGUGUCUUCGCCGGCGCCUCUGUAAGGAGGGUGGCCGAUCGGGAGCUCUGUGCUUCAAACCGUCUUCGGACAAUCUUUGACAACUUGACCUCAAAUCGAGUAGGACUACCCGCUGAACUUAAGCAUAUCAAUAAGCGGAGGA
rnacentral:misc_RNA from 1 species